rnacentral:rRNA from 1 species
GACAGAGGCCUCGAGCGUUAGGCGGAAUCACUGGGCUUAAAGCGUGUGUAGGCGGGCCCGUAAGUGUCUUGUGAAAUCCCACGGCUCAACCGUGGAACUGCUGGGCAUACUGCGGGUCUUGGGCCAACUAGGGGCAGCCGGAACAAGCGGUGGAGCGGUGAAAUGCGUAGAUAUCGUAAGGAAGACCAGUGGCGAAGGCGGGUCUCUGGACAGUUCCUGACGCUGAGGCACGAAGGUCAGGGGAGCAAACGGG